rnacentral:rRNA from 1 species
GACGAACGCUGGCGGCGUGCUUAACACAUGCAAGUCGUACGGUAAGGCCCUUUCGGGGGUACACGAGUGGCGAACGGGUGAGUAACACGUGAGUAACCUGCCCACAACUUUGGGAUAACGCUAGGAAACUGGUGCUAAUACUGGAUAUGUGCUCCUGCUGCAUGGUGGGGGUUGGAAAGCUCCGGCGGUUGUGGAUGGACUCGCGGCCUAUCAGCUUGGUGGUGGGGUAGUGGCCUACCAAGGCGGCGACGGGUAGCCGGCCUGAGAGGGUGACCGGCCACAGUGGGACUGAGAUACGGCCCAGACUCCUACGGGAGGCAGCAGUGGGGAAUAUUGCACAAUGGGCGCAAGCCUGAUGCAGCAACGCCGCGUGCGGGAUGACGGCCUUCGGGUUGUAAACCGCUUUCAGCAGGGACGAAGCUUUUUGUGACGGUACCUGCAGAAGAAGCACCGGCUAACUACGUG